rnacentral:rRNA from 1 species
UACGGGGGGAGCAAGCGUUGUUCGGAUUUACUGGGCGUAAAGGGCGCGUAGGCGGCGCAACAAGUCACUUGUGAAAUCUCCGGGCUUAACCCGGAGCGGUCAAGUGAUACUGUCGUGCUAGAGUGCGGAAGGGGCUACUGGAAUUCUCGGUGUAGCGGUGAAAUGCGUAGAUAUCGAGAGGGAACACCUGCGGCGAAGGCGGGUUGCUGGGCUGACACUGACGCUGAGGCGCGAAAGCUAGGGUAGCAAACGGG